CAGCAGCCACGGUAAUACAGAGGGUGCAAGCGUUAAUCGGAAUUACUGGGCGUAAAGCGCGCGUAGGUGGUUUGUUAAGUUGGAUGUGAAAGCCCCGGGCUCAACCUGGGAACUGCAUCCAAAACUGGCAAGCUAGAGUACGGUAGAGGGUGGUGGAAUUUCCUGUGUAGCGGUGAAAUGCGUAGAUAUAGGAAGGAACACCAGUGGCGAAGGCGGCCCCCUGGACAAAUACUGACGCUCAGGUGCGAAAGCGUGGGGAGCAAACAGGAUUAGAUACCCCCGUAGUCCCUGUCUCUUAUAC
rnacentral:rRNA from 1 species